UACGUAGGGUCCGAGCGUUGUCCGGAAUUACUGGGCGUAAAGAGCUCGUAGGUGGUUUGUCGCGUUGUUCGUGAAAACUCACAGCUCAACUGUGGGCGUGCGGGCGAUACGGGCAGACUGGAGUACUGCAGGGGAGACUGGAAUUCCUGGUGUAGCGGUGGAAUGCGCAGAUAUCAGGAGGAACACCAGCGGCGAAGGCGGCGCUCUGGGCCGGUACUGACGCUGAGGAGCGAAAGCGUGGGGAGCAAACAGG
rnacentral:rRNA from 1 species